ensembl:lncRNA
GUCGAACUUUUGGAAAAAAAGUUUCUGUCUGUUUAGUUUAAAAAUGAUUUGAAACCCUCGUCUGUCUUUAGGAGUCUCAGCCAAAAGUAUCAACACUACAGAGAUUUAACUUCUGCUCUGUUCUGUAAACUAGAUGAAACAAAGAAAAUACAACUGUUUACGCAGUUCCACUUCCUCUGUAAUAUAUUACGUAGGUAUUAUUAUCCAGAGUUUCCCAUUCUUUUCUCAAGGGUUUGUUAUCGUUUACUCAGAACGCUAUGGCCCAACUUAGUAUGCACACUAGUAGCUUGUCGCACACUACUGAGAAUGCAAGUCCAGUACAUGUCUAGAAUGGUGUUUUGGGACGUGACCGUAGUGGCCAAUCUCAGAUCAGCACAGUACAAAGCAGAAUCUUCAUUCACUAAAACUAAAUCGUAAGAAAAACUGAGCAAUGCCGAUAGGCCUGAUAAUCGAUACUCAUCCCUCUGAUUGAUUGAAUUGAUUAGAUAAUUGAUUAGGUAAGACUUCUCAAUCACAGAAAGUAUUUGGCCAAACAAAGCCUUUGUAUUGGUCAAAUCUAAUAGCUCAAAGCCAAAAAGCAAUGCAGCAAAACCAAAACAAAUUAAACAUUGGUCAAACUAAACGUACCCGGAAUAUGAAAGCAACAAAGUUUGUUUCAGCGCAUAUCAUCAUAACCUUUCAAAUUCCAAUGUUUUUUUAUAAACAAAUAAAAGUUUAAAAUUUUGCAGACAAAUCACAGUACAGCCUUUAAAAUGUGUUCCAACCAUAGAAUUAGAAUGAUUAUCAUUCUAGUUCUAUAGUUCCAGCCUUGGUAGUUAUGGUAACGUUUCCUUUUCCAUAACAUAACAGUAGGUUCUGUGCCAUAUAACUGUACCAUAGAAGACAUUGGUUGUACCAAAUGGGGUAAAACAGGUUCAGUCACCCUAUUCCUGGAGGGGUAGCUAGAUGGGAUGUGAAUGGUUGUGGAAAGGGUUUGGGGUCAACUUUCUCAUUUUGUCCUAUUUUCUACACCAACAAAUAUAAUCAUCAUCAUCAUCAUCGCCCUCUUACUGAAAACACACUUCAUUUUUUGCUUUUCACAUUCUCUCUCUUUUCGAAACAAAAAGUCAAGCUCGUUUUUAUUUCUCCACUAACAUUUUGGAGAGGUAAGGAGAGAAAGAGGAGGAGGAAGGAGGCAGUAUAAUGCUCAGGUGAGUACCAAAAAAAAGAAAAAAAAAAAAAAGAAAACCCAGGUCACACAAUCGAUAGGGGCUCUAACACCUCCUCCUCCUUCGUCCAUCUCUCCCUCCCUCUACACCCCUACAGUGGGUUAACUACCUAAACGGCUGGCAGAGAUACACAACAGUCCUCUAGGGCUGACUGCGUCCAGCCUUUCAGAAGGGAGAGGAGGAAAUAAGUGGAAUACAAAAACCCAUGGCACACUUCAGAGUCAAAAUACGUUCCAUUCAGUGGAUUUCAGUCCGCUAAGAUGAAGUCUGCAGUGAACACUAAUCUGUACGUAUCUGUACGUAUAAAAGUAAAACACUGAAGGGAAAAUCAGAUGAUGAAGAGGAAAGGCCUUCAGCUUUACGACAGAUGAAGAGGAAAGGCCUUCAGCUUUACGACAGAUGAUGAAGAGGAAAGGCCUUCAGCUUUACGACAGAUGAAGAGGAAAGGCCUUCAGCUUUACGACAGAUGAUGAAGAGGAAAGGCCUUCAGCUUUACGACAGAUGAAGAGGAAAAGGCCUUCAGCUUUACGACAGAUGAUGAAGAGGAAAGGCCUUCAGCUUUACGACAGAUGAUAAAGAGGAAACGCCUUCAGCUUUACGACAGGCGUUCCGUCACUCCUCCUCGGUUCUCAAGUUGUGUGCCAACACUUGUCUUUUUUGAACUUCUUUCCUGUCAGAAAAUGAAACCGAUGAGUCUCGUUGUGUGGUGAGAGUUGAUGGUGGAAAUGUGGGUUGUUUUUGGCAAGAUGCAACAAAACAAAACCUGUGUGACGUGUUAAGGGCAGCCGUUGUGUCGAGGCGAACAAAGCCACCUUGGACAGAACGUAUUGCACCUGACCCUAACCAUUACCAUAACCCUCACCCUGACCCUCACCCUGACCCUAAGGGCAGCCGUUGUGUCGAGGCGAACAAAGCCACCUUGGACAGAACGUAUUGCACCUGACCCUAACCAUUACCAUAACCCUGACCCUCACCCUGACCCUAAGGGCAGCCGUUGUGUCGAGGCGAACAAAGCCACCUUGGACAGAACGUAUUGCACCUGACCCUAACCAUUACCAUAACCAUUACCAUAACCCUCACCCUAACCCUCACCCUGACCCUAACCCUGAC